rnacentral:sRNA from 1 species
UAGGCUUAAAGAAGAAGAACAACGUGGGG